rnacentral:rRNA from 1 species
GACGAACGCUGGCGGCGUGCUUAACACAUGCAAGUCGAACGGAAAGGCCCUGCUUUUGUGGGGUGCUCGAGUGGCGAACGGGUGAGUAACACGUGAGUAACCUGCCCUUGACUUUGGGAUAACUUCAGGAAACUGGGGCUAAUACCGGAUAGGAGCUCCUGCUGCAUGGUGGGGGUUGGAAAGUUUCGGCGGUUGGGGAUGGACUCGCGGCUUAUCAGCUUGUUGGUGGGGUAGUGGCUUACCAAGGCUUUGACGGGUAGCCGGCCUGCGAGGGUGACCGGCGACAUUGGGACUGAGGUGCGGCACAGACUGGUACGGGAGGGAGAAGUGCGAAAUACUGCACGAUGGGCGGAGGGCUGAUGCAGAAACGCCGCGUGCGGGAUGACGGCCUUCGGGUUGUAAACCGCUUUCGCAUGUGACGAAGCGUGAGUGACGGGAAUGGGUACAGAAGCACCGGCUAACUACGUG